rnacentral:misc_RNA from 1 species
UCCGAGUUGACCCCGGCAGUCUCUCACGAGUCCCCGCCAUUACGCGCUGGCAACUAACAACAGGGGUUGCGCUCGUUAUAGGACUUAACCUGACACCUCACGGCACGAGCUGACGACAACCAUGCAGCACCUUGAAAAACGUCCGAAGAAGGGUCUGUUUCCAAACCUGUCGUUUCCCAUUUAAGCCUUGGUAAGGUUCCUCGCGUAUCAUCGAAUUAAACCACAUGCUCCACCGCUUGUGCGGGCCCCCGUCAAUUCCUUUGAGUUUCAGGCUUGCGCCCGUACUCCCCAGGUGGGAUACUUAUCACUUUCGCUUAGCCACUCAGUCUUGCAACCGAACAGCUAGUAUCCAUCGUUUACGGCGUGGACUAC